rnacentral:tRNA from 1 species
GGCCUAGUAGCUCAGCUGGUGGAGCGUGCGCUCUACAAAAGCGUAGACUGCGUCCAUGCGUGGGCUCGAGUCCCACCGAGGCUA